rnacentral:rRNA from 1 species
GACGAACGCUGGCGGCGUGCUUAACACAUGCAAGUCGAGCGAUGAAUUUUCUUCGGAAAUGGAUUAGCGGCGAACGGGUGAGGAACACGUGAAGAAUCUGCCCUCCACUUUGGGAUAACACAGGGAAACCUGUGCUAAUACCGAAUAUUGAAACAUAAGUGGCAUCACUGAGUUUCGAAAGAAUUUCGGUGGAGGAUGACUUCGCGGCCUAUCAGCUAGUUGGUGAGGUAAUGGCUCACCAAGGCAACGACGGGUAGCCGGCCUGAGAGGGCGACCGGCCACACUGGGACUGGGACACGGCCAAGACUCCUACGGGAGGCAGCAGUGGGGAAUAUUGGGCAAUGGAGGAAACUCUGACCCAGCGACGCCGCGUGCGGGAUGAAGGCCUUCGGGUUGUAAACCGCUUUCAGUAGGGAAGAAGCGAAAGUGACGGUACCUACAAAAGAAGCACCGGCUAACUAUGUGCCAGCCGCCGCCGUAA